AUCCAACUGACGAGUCCCAAAUAGGACGAAACGCGCGUAUAAACUGGAU
rfam:Schistosoma mansoni strain Puerto Rico chromosome 1, complete genome